ensembl:lncRNA
UACAGAUUAUUAGAGGUAUGGCAUUAUAUGCUCAGCACGGGAACCUUCACUAGAAUCUACAAGCACUUUUAAGUCUGAUAAUAUUUUUUUUAAAUGUAACCACCGGAUCUCUCUUUGAUUAACUGGAUACCUGGUAACUCUUUGCCCUUUAACCCAGUGUGUCGUAGUGUAGACAGUGAUAACACUUGUUUUAUACCUAAUCAGUGACAAGUUGAUCACAAAACUGAACCAUUGCUUUGACUCAAUACCAACUCAGGCCUGCAUAACAGAAAUGUUGUUUCAAGGAAAAUGACAAAUAAAAUAUAUACAAUAGUCGUAGAGUUACAGAUGCACCAGAGUUUUAAAUUGCUUUAGCUUUUAUGCACGUUCAGGCAAGUAACCCAUCUAAACCAGCAUGGCCUGCAGGAGGGCUACUGUCUGUCAUUAGAUAGUUAUACUGUCACACAUUGGGCUUCCAACUGCUUUGACGAAAGCAAAGCAUUCGAAAUAAUGAGAACAGAAAGAAAACACAUUAUAUACACAUAGUGACGGCCCUCUGCACGAGUAAUGUUUGAACAUACCGGUCGGCUGAGUUCCAGAGACUUAUGACUGUUAUAUUCCCCCAUAUUAGUCCCACGAACCCUGCGAACUCAAACACGUCAGCCCGGGAUGGAUACCAGAGCCACAUUUGGUGAAUACAAUGAUAAAUUGCAAGUAAUGCCUGCUGGCUAGCGACCAUCACCGCGAAGCCAAGAUCCUAACGUUAGGCCACAGGGCAUAGAUUAUUACCCGGGUUUCGUAAUGGACGUCAGUGUUGGGAAUCGCCGAGGUGAAAGCGUACAAAGAUACCCCCAUAUUGUUUCCCGGCCGUGACAGCGAGCUUAGGAAAAUGAACAUUAACGUUCUAUUGCGUGUUACCUGCUCCAUUGGUGGCAUUCUCGUCGAACGGCCCCGGUCUAAGUGUGCGCCAUCAUCACCGUGACGGCGUCACCGUCUCCCACAACACAAGACAGUCGACGAGCAAACUAGCCUUUACACAGCGGCCGUAGCGCCCCUAGUCUGUCCAUUUACGGCGGAUUUGUGGCCAGCAGUGAGCGAGACAGGCGAGGGGUGUCAGAUAGACACACUAUUUAGAUGCGGUUAUUGUGUCUUUUGAUAGACAAACUGCCAACUAGCUUUAGCUAGCAAGCUAGUUAGCCGGAACAGGCCGCCGUGCAAGUGAGCGGUCUCAGUGGGCGCCGGGCAUCAGCGCUACCUCUCAAACCUCUACACCGCUGGUACCGUGCCUCUUGGCGGCUUACUCGUUCGUCUUACUGCGACAACACGACUGGCAGAAUAAUGUUUGAAACAACGGUGUUUACCUGGGUUUAUCAGGUUGCCAGGGCGCGCGGGAUCUUUCUCUCCGAGGAUCCUGAACACCUCUCGUUGUCGGUGACGUCACGCGUC